UCUGUACCACAGUUUUAAAACAUCUAUUUGUCCAACAAUAUUAAGUGUUUUCACUGUGCAGGAUGCUGUAGUAGGCGCUAGAAGUACAGUGAAUAUAAUAGUCCUUUCCAGAAUAUAAUAGUCCAAUCAAGUUCCUCAUUAAACAAGGUAUUGUGAUGAUAAUAGAAUAGGGGAGUAAUGGGAGACAAUGUCGACAGAGAGGCCUCUCUGAGGUGGCUGGAGGACAAGCCAUUGUCAGCCUGGAGAACAUUCUAGGAGAAAGAAGAACCUCUGUGAAGGCUAAGAGUGGUGGAUUGAAGAAAACAAGAGAAGACUGGUGAGGCUGGUCUGAAGUGAGGCCAGAGAGUUAUACAGAGGCCAGAUCAUGGAGAGCCGGGAAGGUCACUUUAAGUAUGAAAAAUACCUUGCCUGACAUGGGCACCCUGCCACCAUUGGAAGAACCGUGAGAAUCCAGUUUGUUCUCAGAACACUGCCAUGAAGGAGGGAGCAGACCGUGGGAGUGCAGCUCAGCACAAAACAGGCAGCACCUGGGGCCGGCGGGCUGCUCUGCUCCACUAGUUGGAGAUCUACAAGGAACAUUUUGAUGUCCUCACAACAUGUUCUUCUCUCUGCUGCAGUCCCGUCCUUCCAGUAUUCUCCUUUGACCAACUUCUCUGGAUCUCAAGCCUCAGAUAUCAUUACUGUGAAGUAUUCCUUGAAUCCUGAAUGAUGAUGCUUCCACCAGCAAUUUCCUACAACCAUCACAUUCUCCAGAACGGUCUGUUUAGAUGCCUCUGUGCCUCUCUAGGUAGAGCUCUUCCCAAGUGGGAACUAUUUCUAUAUCAGUAAGUAGCAGGGACAUAGGUAAGUGAGUGGACACAUGAGACAGAUGGGUGGACGAGUUGAUACCAUGUCAUCCUGCUCUCAAUUAUAACUAGAGAAGGUGCCCUAAAGUCUUAUGCCUCAUUAUCUGUCAUACUUAUUUCUGUCCCUUUUCAUCACUACUGCCUUCACCUUUGUUCAAGCCCUCUUCUGUAAUUUAAAGCCUGGACUGUGACAGCAGCCCAUUAAACAACCUAUUUACUC